CACCCCCGGCAAUGGGCUAAGAAGCAUCAUGUUGGUGGUGCUCUUAUGACAGGCAGGGGUAGAGCAGAUGCAGUCCUUUGUUCUCCCUAACUUGAUGGCUGGCUUGGUGGCCAAAGCUGUCUUAUGCCUAGGACUCAUAA